rnacentral:rRNA from 1 species
AUUGAACGCUGGCGGCAUGCUUUACACAUGCAAGUCGAACGGCAGCGGAGUGGGGCUUUGUUCUCUCGGGGGGCGUGUCGCGGGGGUGUGUAAAAUACAUGGACGUCUCCAUAUGCGGGGGAGAACCACUCGGGAGGGUGACGAUUACACCGUAAAUGCUGUGGGGGUGAAAUCAGGACCUCGUCAUAGGCCUCGCGCUUUUUUGAGGGGAUGUCGGAUUAGCUAGUUGGCGAGGUAAAGGCGCACCAAGGCGACGAUCUGUAGCGGGUCUGAGAGGAUGAUCAGCCACACUGGGACUGAGACACGGUCCAGACUCCUACGGGAGGCAGCAGUGGGGAAUAUUGGACAAUGGGGGCAAGCCUGAUCCAGCCAUGCCGCGUGUGUGAAGAAGGCCUUAGGGUUGUAAAGCACUUUUGUUAGGGAAGAAAAGUAGGAGGUGAAUAAUGGGCUGUACUGACGGUACCUAAAGAAUAAGCACCGGCUAACUACGUG